AAUGGAGUGCCUGAGUAAAGGGCUAUCUUGAUAGGAUAGAUCACACAUUAUAUGUCUUCAUUA
rnacentral:tRNA from 1 species